CGAACGCUGGCGGCGUGCUUAACACAUGCAAGUCGAACGGUGAUCCAUUUCGGUGGUGAUCAGUGGCGAACGGGUGAGUAACACGUGAGCAACCUGCCCCUGGCUCUGGGAUAACUCCGGGAAACCGGGGCUAAUACCGGAUAUGACAUUCUACCGCAUGGUGGUUUGUGGAAAGUUUUUCGGCUGGGGAUGGGCUCGCGGCCUAUCAGCUUGUUGGUGGGGUGAUGGCCUACCAAGGCGACGACGGGUAGCCGGCCUGAGAGGGCGACCGGCCACACUGGGACUGAGACACGGCCCAGACUCCUACGGGAGGCAGCAGUGGGGAAUAUUGCGCAAUGGGCGAAAGCCUGACGCAGCAACGCCGCGUGAGGGAUGAAGGCCUCGGUUGUAACUACUUCUAGCAGGAGAAG
rnacentral:rRNA from 1 species